rnacentral:rRNA from 1 species
UACGAGGGGUCCUAGCGUUGUUCGGAAUCAUUGGGCGUAAAGAGUAUGUAGGCGGCCAGAUAAGUCAGGUGUGAAAUCCCCGGGCUCAACCCGGGAAGUGCAUUUGAUACUGUCUGGCUUGAGUAUGGAAGAGGGUAGUGGAAUUCCUGGUGUAGUGGUGAAAUACGUAGAUAUCAGGAGGAAUACCGGUGGCGAAGGCGGCUACCUGGUCCUAUACUGACGCUGAGAUACGAAAGCGUGGGGAGCAAACAGG